AUGUUUCUUUUCUUCAUCAUUAACAACACAACCAUCACUCAAACCACCGUUAAAACUACAAAAACCACCAUUUAAACCACCAUUAAAACCACACAAAAAAAAAAAACCCACAUAAAACCACAAAAAAUCACACAAUCAUCACUACAAAUCAACAUAAAACCACCAUAAAUCAACACAAAAAACACAAUCAUUACCAAAAACAAAAC
rnacentral:lncRNA from 1 species